AUUGAACGCUGGCGGCAUGCUUUACACAUGCAAGUCGAACGGCAGCGCGGGCUUCGGCCUGGCGGCGAGUGGCGAACGGGUGAGUAAUGCAUCGGAACGUGCCCAGUAGUGGGGGAUAGCCCGGCGAAAGCCGGAUUAAUACCGCAUACGACCUGAGGGUGAAAGCGGGGGACCGAAAGGCCUCGCGCUAUUGGAGCGGCCGAGGUCGGAUUAGCUAGUUGGUGGGGUAAAGGCUUACCAAGGCGGCGAUCCGUAGCUGGUCUGAGAGGACGACCAGCCACACUGGGACUGAGACACGGCCCAGACUCCUACGGGAGGCAGCAGUGGGGAAUUUUGGACAAUGGGGGCAACCCUGAUCCAGCCAUGCCGCGUGCGGGAAGAAGGCCUUCGGGUUGUAAACCGCUUUUGUUCGGGAAGAAAUCCUCUGGGCUAAUACCCCGGGGGGAUGACGGUACCGGAAGAAUAAGCACCGGCUAACUACGUG
rnacentral:rRNA from 1 species